rnacentral:rRNA from 1 species
AGUGAACGCUGGCGGUAGGCCUAACACAUGCAAGUCGAACGGCAGCACAGUAAGAGCUUGCUCUUACGGGUGGCGAGUGGCGGACGGGUGAGGAAUACAUCGGAAUCUACUUUUUCGUGGGGGAUAACGUAGGGAAACUUACGCGAAUACCGCAUACGACCUACGGGUGAAAGCAGGGGAUCUUCGGACCUUGCGCGAUUGAAUGAGCCGAUGUCGGAUUAGCUAGUUGGCGGGGUAAAGGCCCACCAAGGCGACGAUCCGUAGCUGGUCUGAGAGGAUGAUCAGCCACACUGGAACUGAGACACGGUCCAGACUCCUACGGGAGGCAGCAGUGGGGAAUAUUGGACGAUGGGCGCAAGCCUGAUCCAGCCAUACCGCGUAGGUGAAGAAGGCCUUCGGGUUGUAAAGCCCUUUUGUUGGGAAAGAAGAGCAGCAGGUUAAUACCCCGCUGUUCUGACGGUACCCAAAGAAUAAGCACCGGCUAACUUCGUG